CUUUAAUUGUAGUUAGUGUACAGCAGUCAGAAAAAUAUUUAAAAAUUCCUCACAUGUUCAUUUAAUUGUGUUAUUGUGAUACAAGAAAACAAAUUAAUUAGAUUUCCAUCUUUAAAAAUCAAGUUUAUUAUUUAUAUGUUAAGACACAUAUUUCCAUACAUUACAUCCAAAAUCCGUAACAUUCCACUGUUUUUUUUUUUGUUGUUUUUUUUGUUUUUUUUCUUUGAGUUAAAGUGUGAUAAGAAUGAUUUGGCCAUGCUGAGAGCCAUAAUUACCUUGUACUCAUAACAUUCACUAUCCACAAUGUAGAAACAGGAAGUGGUGGUGGAAGAGAAGAGGGUAAGAGUCACAGGGAGACAGAAACAGAGAGAGACGGAGAUGGAGAGAGUGAGAGAUCAGGCACUCUCCACUGUGGCCAGGGGCUGGUAAAUAAUGAAUGUGUGGCAGACACAGUGCCAGUUUGAAAUGUAAAUGUGACGCCUGUGUGUGUGUGUGUGUGUGUGUGUGUGUGUGUGUGUGUGUGUGUGUGUGUGUGUGUGUGUGUGUGUGUGUGUGUGUGUGUGUGUGCGCGCCAUGGUUGUAACUGAAAUGAAGAUGGCUGUAGGGUCAAGAAAGUAUUUGGAGGAGAUAUGAAAAGAGUGUAAAACCCGAGAUAUAGAGAGUGGGAGAGAGAAAUAGGAAAAUAGAGGUACAGAUGAGAAAGAGCAAAGAAAAUGUUCACCUUUGCUUCAACAUAUAGCAUGUAUAUGAUAUGCCAAUGUAAAUUUUUAAAUAUCAUUCUCUACAAGCCAAACAGUUCUUCUGUGUUUCUAUGAGGUCCAGAUUAAUGAUGCCCCCAUGGAGAUGUAUCUGAAGGACAGUAUGUGUGAGGGGACGUCUGAUCUCCUCUCCGCCCUCACCAUGGGACCGGCCUGCAGGGCGGACCAGACAGCUCUGGCGUUCCUGCUCUGUAUCCAGACUAAUUUCAUAAAAGACAGAGAUUAUUCCCAGAGAAAGCACUGUAGGUCACACUGAUCAAGGACACAAAAGAGUCUUAUUAUAAAGAAAGAGUGCAAGAAUGAUAGAAUUAGGAGGGGAGACUUAUGAAACAAGACAGUGGUUGUUUUGAAGAUAAAAGCUUCUUAUUAUUUGUGCACACUGAAUUUGACCCAUGUUUUUACAGAAUGGAUUUUACACAUUAAUGUACCUGAUGUACUAUAUGAAGUAAAUAUAAAUUGUAUUAUUAAUAUUAAUAUUUAUAAUUAAAUGUGUUUGUUAGCUUGACUCUGUACAGUGAUACUCCCAUAUAAACUGAUUGUUAGAACAUACUAGAAACUGACAUGAGCAUCAUCUAUUAAUUUAUUCAAAAAUUUAAUAUGCAAGGCUUUAAUAUACAUCUUCUUUGAUUUUUGUAUUAAAAUCCAUUUUGGUAAUUUCGGGGGGCAAAAGGUCAGGGUGAGGAAAAUAUUUUGAUAUCAUAGUGAUCAGUGAUAUCAUAAAUGUAUUGUAUUUUAAUGAUAUCAUAAUGAAUAAAAAAAUACAGUUCUUGAAAAGAACACUUUAGUUUGACAUAUUCUAUAAUAUUUUAUUAUUGUUUCUGAGGGGAAAAAAAAUCAAACCUGUAACAAACCUGCUUUACCCCUUAUUAAUAUUUGAUAAACUAUUUUCUAGCAACUCAAGUAGAUGUCUAACCAGCAUGCAAGAAAAAUAAAAUAAAAUAAAAUCAUAGUGAAGACCCCAGCAGGACUGUGUGUAAGUCAAUAAAAAAAUACAAAUUCUGAUAUUUUGACCUUUUUAAGGCAAGGUUAGUUGUAAAAUGUUGUGUGGUGAAAAGGUAUUUAUGAUAUGAUUCUUCCUUUUCUUUAUACCGUAACACUGUAAAGCUCCUUUGACAAUCUGCAUUGUAAAAAGCGCUAUACAAAUAAUGGUGACUUGACUUGACUUUAUUGUGGACACUCUUAUGACAGUUUGUGAACAGGCAGUAAUUUAAAAUAAAAAGAUAACUUUAUGGAAAAAGACAAAUUUUGCAUGAUUGUAUCGCAUAGAAAAAAAAUACAUCUGGGUGGAUAAGCAAAAGCCUAUAAUAAGCCAAAUAAAGAAUUACUUUCUUACCUUACCAACCAAAUUAUUUAUGUCUGCUAGGCAAAUGUCAUGUCACAUAAUUAAUAUUCAUGAACAAACCUGAUGUAUUUUAUAUUGUGGCACUCUUUUUUCAAAUCAUCCCUACAUCCCUGAUUUUCUAUAAAUAGAUAUGUCCCGAAAAUGUAAAGAAUUAGCUUGAACAAUUUAUGAAAAUGAAGUUAAGAUGCAGCAAAUUAAUGAAUGUCAUAUGAGACAUUUUCAGUGCUUCAGUGCUUUUGGUACUUAUUUAGGAGCGUCCCUACAGCAGUAAUGACUGUAACAGCCCAGUUUUAGUUGGCCAGUUCACACUAAGAAAAAGCCUCUGAAACCAUACCAUGCCUUCAUGCCUGUUUCACUAAGUGUGUGUGCCCAUCUCAAAGCCAAUCCCUGAGCAGGGCAAAGGGGUGGGGGGUUAACAGGUGACAGUGGGGGGCAUAAGGCGGGCCAGGAGAGAACAUGCUGGCAGCACAGUUUGAGCUCCAGAGAAAUUUUGUCACUCUUGUCACUCUCUCCAAAAACCCUUGAAUCAAGCUCACCCCCCUCCCUGCAUCCAUCUGGACCCCUGCAGGAGACCAACCGCACCCUGAGCAGUGCCUGUAUCCCUUCAUACACGUGCACACACACAUACUUAACUGACCACACCCACACACCAGUCACACACGCAGCUGUCUUUCCCUUCCUCCUGGCAGGUUACCCCCCAGCAGAGUGUCAGUCCACUGUGUUCUCUUCCCCAGCCAGCUGGCAGCUCGUCAUGGGCAGGGCGGCUCUCGGCUCCCUGCUCUCAUCACUCGGCAGUGGGGAGGACAGGCUGACUGGCUGGCAUAUGCUGGUUCCGACCUCCACACGCCACUGCGGUGCUCUCUGUCUCUUAUCCUGGCUCCGUGUCCAUCAGUCGUCGCACAGAUCACACCAUUUACCUCCGCUGUGAGUGUGAAACGGGGCAGCUGUCGAACAAAACAUCAUUUUUAAAAGUGUAAUAGGGAGUUUCUGAUCUCACAAUAAAUCUAGCAUAUGACUCAUGACCAGCUAAAGACCAGCUUAAACCAGCUCAAACCAGUGAAAUGCUUCAAAACAUAUCUAACCAGCAUAUGCUGUUUUUUUUUUUUUCAAUAGGUACAAGACAGAAUGCCCUGUAUAACCCUCUUUUCCUGUAUCAGAUCCAAAAGGAUUGAUUCCUCCCUCUCUACUAGUGUUGGUUUUCACCUGUGUACUUAUUGCAAUGCUUCCAUACUUCCAGAAGUGGUAUAGCAGGCCAGCUGGGUGGUAUUAGAGCAGAUUAUCACCCCAUUAUUUGCGCUGUUUGCACAGCAUACCCACCAUGUAAAAGCCAGUUUCACCAUGGUCACGGUAGACCUUUCAUCUGCAUGACUGGCAGCUGUAUUCCACCGCAGUUGGGCCUGAGUGAGAUAUCCAGGUGUAGCCAGAAGAGACUUUCUCUAAAUGAAGCCCACAGUGGGGGAUUCCUCGCAGGUGUCUCCCUGGUUAGUGGAAGGCCUGUUUGGCAAUGCCGAAUACCCCAAGCACUGCCAGGCUGUUUACAUCCUCUGUGCAUGUCCAAUCAGACUGGGCUUCCAGGGAAACAUGUUCUGCAUCCAGCCUGGUGCUCAGUAGGCACUACUCUCUGACUGAUGCAAUUCUCCCAGAGCUUUGCCAGCAAGGAACACACACAAAUACUUUGCUGCAAGAUUGCUGCGGUAUCAGUGCAAGUACCAUCGGCACAAAAAUUUAAAAAUGAAACAUGAGCAUGUGAUUUGGAAGGUUUCCAUUCAUUGUUAUCUGUCUCUAUAAACCGUCAAAAGUUAAUUAGACAUUAAACAAUGAUUUGUAUCUAUUUUUAAUGAAUGAUAGGUGUGUUUCCUUAUUUUCUCCUGUUUUCAUUCAAGGAAAAUUGGCAGAUAUUUAUACUUCCAAGAUCCAAAAAAAAAAGCACCGGGAAAGUGUUCUGAAAUGAUCAGAAUACAUAUGGUAGCCUUGUCUGAGGAACAGACAAAAAAACGAAGCCCUUAUUCACCACACUAUUACUUUAAGAAAACCUGACACAAGUGUAAACACACAAACAUUGUCCUAGCACACACUAUGUACAAUCUCUCCUGUGCAGCCGUGGUAGACAGGCUUCCAACACGCAGAGGAUUAGGUCUGCUUUUACUGUUCAGCGUGGCAUAGUAAUUACCCUUUCUGUAUGUGUGUCUCUCAGAACACAGAACACUGAUCUAAGAACCCAUGCUGUUGCUCCACCACUGCAGGACCCUACUGAUCCAGAAGAAGGAGAGAAAGAGAGAGAGAGAGAGAGAGAGAGGUGGAUUGAGCCUCAGCCUUGUCAGGAUGGAUUAAAGAAAAGACUUUGAGGGUUUUUUCAGAAACGCUGAAACUGAGCUUCCUGCUCUCUCCACAGUUCUUUUACUCCUGGCUCUUGCUUUUAUCCUUUUUUUUAUCUCAAGCCAUUCAUUAAUAGUCCCAGAAAUUAACGAGCACGUCAUACAUCCGUGAACACCUCCAAUAAACCAUCAGGGAGGCCUCGGAAUGACAGAUGACAUCCGUCCGUCUCUGUAUGGGAAAGCACGGCCUGACAAGCUGAAAAAGAAGAUGUCACUCAUCUAAUGGAAUCUCUUAGCCCUGCCCACUUCAGUGAGCAAUAAACAUGUAAACGUGCAAAGAAACACUGGGCCUCUGAAUUUCAAACCUGACCAUCUUGCUCACACACACUCCCAAAGCACAGCCUUUGGUAAUUAAGCUAUCCAUUGUGAAGGCAGGGUUUGAUAACGUACUUCUCUUUAUUCAGCAAUAUUUAUGUCUCAUCUCUGCAUAGCGCAAGGAGUAUUGUACACUUGAAAAGAUCCAUGAAGAGCCUCAAUCACACACAAGACACACACAUGCAUGCAAACACACACCCACCACACAAUCACACUCAUCUCCUCAAGAGGACAUUAUUGGAAACUCCCUGCAGAAAACAUUAUUUCAGGCCUGCGGAAUAAAUGAGGACAGUUUGGUGGAAGGCUGCUGGUAACCUGCAUGGCUUAUUUUAACCUGUCUCAUUACAACAACCUUUUUAAUUUUACUGAGUGGUACCUGUCAAAAAAAAGAAGAAGAAGAAGAAACUUGUUCAGAGGUUCUCCUGUCUCCCUCUCUCUCCCUGUCUGAUUGAUGUUCUGAGGAGGCAUUAACACUUCUCUCCAUGCCUGUACUGAAGUUAAUACAUGGGAAAGAUGGAUUACGCUACGUAUGGGCGAUGGCUUCCAGAAAGAUGGCUCAGGAAUCAAUAAUGAGUUUGUCCUCCCCUCUUUCUUUUCCAUGCUCGUCGCUUGCUUCACUGCAAUUAAAUAAAACCACAUUUGCAUAUGGAAGAAUAAUUAAAACAAACAAACCUCUAGGACAACACUCUCUCCCACAGGAGAGAAAUCCAGAGAUGAGGAGGACCCAAAAAUGAAAAAUGCCCCUCACUGAAGGGUGUAAUUGCACAGCUCAGCUCCUCGUCCAUUAAUCCUGUCAAUUCAGUUCUUCACCAGUUCUUCUUGCUCUCCUUUACAGCUUCAGCACAGUCAUGAGGCAUGAAUAUACAGAUGAUGUGGGUCUUGAUGAAGAAGUUUAACGAGUGAAACUACAGACCAACUUUACUCAUUAGGACAAAUGUGAGUGAUCCAUUAAGACUUGUUUGUAAUAUGCAGUAAUGUUGAAGCAUAUAUGAGGGAGGCUAUUGAGGACUUCAAUCAUAAAGACACCAAGGUAUGCGCUGUGCGUAAUCUUCCUCGGAGAACUCGAGAAUAACUUUUCUCUUUUCCCAAAUGUGCAUGAAAGUUAUUCGUAGAGUGUCCUCUGUCUGAAGACUCCUGUGUAUCUAGGAGCUAAAAUGAAUAUGUGUGUGUGUGUGUGUGUGUGUGUGUGUGUGUGUGUGGUACCAGCCACAGAAACACAUGUUAGUCCAGAGAGAAUACCACCUCCUGGAGAGACUCUGCAAUGCUGUGAAAGAGCAGGCCAGGUUGGCAGCUCAACAGGCAAGGCACACAGUCCUAAGGGGGCAACUUGAGUAUAAUCCUCCGUAGUCAUGGUAUGGCGAGCCAUGCCUGGUUCCUCAAGUGCUGACUGUGCAGAUGCCUGUGGUUCUUCUGGAACCUCUUGAUGGGCAAAUAUGUACCAAAGUAGAGAUUAAAUUCAGAAAUUCAUGAUUCAAAUUCAUGAAAAAAUUAGCAUGAUUAAAUUUUCAUUUUAAAGGUGAGGGAAUACCAUGACAUCCUGGUUCUUUUGAAAGCUGUUCGAUUAUAUUUUAAAAGCACACCUCAUUUCCGGGGUUUUGUAUUAUUUAAAGGUUCCUACAUCAGACACGCGUUAAAGGGGCAACUGUGCUUCCAAGCCCCAUCAAGAUGCCUUCGAGAUACACAAGGUACAUUUGCAUUCAUCGAGGCCUGCCAUGUUUUCUCUUCCUCCCCUGAAAGAGCUCAACAUGAUCCAGUGGGCUGUAGCCCCAGGCUAGAACAACACUUUAAAAAAACGCCUGCUUUCUGAUGAGAAAACACUUCCAGGAUUGCAAAGCUUGCUCUGAUCUGUCCAUCCUCUGUGCUGUCUACAAACGUUGCCUCAUCUCCUCUGUUUAAAGACUCCUUCAGCUUUCAAGAAGAUGACUUCUGGUUGAGUUGGACACUGACUUGGAACGCAGUAUUACAGUUUACUCUUACCGAUUUGACUUUGGAAACAUUGUUAAAUAUUAGUAAAAUUAGCAGAAAUUAGCCAGGCUUUCCUGUAGGUUGAACAUUAGAGAAUGGUGCUAAAAAAGCCAUGACCAUGAUUCCCGGGAAAUGCAUAAACUAUUAUGCGUAUACCUUAAAUGCAAUUUAAGUUCUUUUGGAUAAAAGUGUAUGCCAUAAAUGCAAUGCAUAAAUGUAAAUAAAUUAAUAAUAUUAAAUUAAAACCUCUCUAUAGGAAAAAAAAACUAAUCCCAUGGACCUGUUCAUUGCCUUGGAAUAACUGCUGGAUCACCCAAAGUUGGUUUUGUGCUUAUUGUGUUUCACAUCUCGAGCAUCUGCAGUUAAAUUAACCAAAACACAGCACUUGGUUCAAAUAUGAAUGUUUAAAAUGGAUGAGACCUUUAAGGUUUUGACUAGUGGCUUCCGUAAAGUCCACCAGUUGUGCAAGAAUCCUAAGCACAGAAGAGUUAUGGGUGUGCAUCAGACCUUUGUCAGAAGAAAAAGUAAAGGCUGAUCUUGUGUUACAUAAUGAGGGAUUCGGUCUCAUCUCUGAAAGCAGAUGGGGUGUGUGAGGCACAGUGGCUCCCCUGCAGUAAAUAACUUGUUGACUGCUUUAACCUCUCUUUGUGCUGUUCUGGAUGAGUGGACCUGCGGUGAACAUGUGCUUGGAAGAGUAAAGGAACAGCGAAGGAGUGGGAGGAAGUUGUUGGGAGGGCAUAUGGCAGCAGCCUCUUCUUCAGAACUCAAUGUAGUCUGCUCUGACACCCCCAUUUUCCCUCCACUACUCCUCGACCAAAGCAGUGCUCCGUCCUAGGCUGCAGAUUGCUUAUGACAGCCGCACUAUUUCAAGUGUGGAUUUGAGCUAAAUUGAAAUGAGCAGUACCACCUGUGCGGGUGGGGGCCUGUGCUCAAGUCUCCAGCAGUGGUGCAGGGAAAAACCUGCUACCUACAACCUUCAAAGCCACCGCCUUCUCCUGCAAUCUGCUUCCGCUCUUCCCCCCAUUCCUUCAGCUGCCCUACAAGGAUCCUUUCCCUGGAGCUCAACUCUCGAGCAGCCGGCUUUCAGAUAUUUCUCACGCUGCUAGACUCAUAUGGUGUUGGUUAGCAUGUAACAGACCUAUUUUCUUGAAGAAACUAUGGAUGAAACCUGACGGAAAGAAAAUAAAUGGGUGAUAUCGUAAUAUGACACUUCAAACGUGGAAACCCUUGCCCGUUUAUAGUCGGAUGUACUAGUGUUGAAUUAAGAAAGUGCUCAGGCGAGGUAAUGACAGACGGGAAGUGACUCAUUGCAGGCAGGAUGUAGUCGGUGUCAGUUAGCCAUGAGAGUGGUGAGGGUGGUGUGAGGACAGACAUGGGGUCAAACGCUCACCGCCUCAUCGAGUUCAUUUCCACACUGUCCUCUGCAGGGUGCUUCCCCUCUAAGGGACUCACCAGAGAAACGCUUCAUUCACUCACUGAUCAGUGGCCUUUUCCUCCUCCUCCUCAUACCCUCUCCCUGCCUCCCCCUCCUUUCUCACUGUCUCUUUCUCACACACACACACAUACUGGGGUGGUGCGAGGCUCUGAACUGGAAGCCAUGCUUUCUAAUAGCGCAACAGGAGGUGAGCAGUGUCACUCGCAGACUUUCAGCAGUGGGUGUCGGACUAGUGUAAACUGUAUCAUCAGUGGGAUUGUACUGGCAGACACACCUGCCAACUGUUCUGCAUACGGACAUCUGCUAAACCAUCAGAUAUGAGAUACAUUUCCUCAUAAAAAUCCACGUCAGACCAUCUUCUUAAUCGCACAAGCCCAGCGUAUCCAUGGCAGUCGAUGAAACAGCCCACAGCUGGGUGUAGUUAUCUCAACGCUGCUGGCCUGAAGUGACUUUUACGGGUCAAUGAGUAGGUCUGGUCACUCGAUGGCUGUUCGUUAAAGAGAGGUCAGAUGUUUCGCGUUGCAGUUAGUGGUGUUUGCGGCUAUGUUGCCACUCAGCUGGUCACUCCUAAUGAUCAGGCAAUCGAUAGGGCCAACAGUUCCUUAUGACCAAGCUUUCAAAAGAACAAACACACACACACUACACACACUUAGUAUGAGGUGGUAUGGCGCAGUGGUGUCAGAUGAUUAUCCGUGAGAGACUAGUCAGUGGAAGUUUCUGCUACUGUUGAAAGAGACAUUGGAAAGCUUGUCUGGAACAAUUAGUCAUAAACGGCUGACAAAAUACUGAAUUGUAAAUAUUAAAUAGCAGAGAGGUCAAUAUACUUGGAUUUCUAUCUCCCCUAUGCAAGAUAUGAAAGGAAUUGAGAAAUAUUAGCAUGCAAUUUUGAUUUUGUAUAGCCUGGCGCAGUCACUGUCUUUGAUCGUAAUGCCUAAAUAAUGUCGAUUUUGAUCAUUCUUCAGGAAUUAAUUUUUCGCUUGUUUAUCUUGUAGUCUAUCAGGAUUGUAGCUCUUCCGCCCAGAGAAUGAUUUACAUGAUUGAACAAACAGACUGUGUGUUUGUCUGUUAAUUCGCGAGUGUAGCCAAACCCAGAGAUUCGGAUUUUCACUUCCAUGGUAAGGGAAUGGCAAUGCGCACUACCUGUCUGGCAUCAUUCUCUGUAUAUGUGUGUGUGCUGUCUCAUGGUUAAGUGCACAGGAAGGCUCAUUGUAGUCCACUGGGCUGGCAGAUAAAAGCGGAUUCAUUCUCUGUGUCUGGCGACACAAGAAGUUCCUCCGAGUGGCUGGCUGGCCCGCCCCAUCUGCUGUCCACACUGAAAGGCCCGUUUGUUGGCUGCUCUUCAGAGACUGGGCCACUCGGAACCCGAGGGUUCUGGAAGUAAUCCAGAGAAGACUGUACCAAGCGGUUAGUCUGAGAGAGGCGCUGAGUGGCACCGUAAACAGGAGGCAGAGAGGGGACUUGCUGUCACACACAUUUUAUUGUUUCACAUCAGCACCAGUGCAGUACCACAAAACAGUAAAUAUACUGACAAAAGCAAAACUUUCAGUUAAAUGACCAAACAACAACAUGAUGAGCAGGUUCAAGAUGGCAGCCUGUUUACAUAUUACCACAUGACUUACAGUGUGUGUGCAUAUGCGCGUGACAAAAUAUAUUUUUCAAAUUCUACGAUACAACUUGGAUGCUUAGAUAAUAAAAUCACUAUUAAUAUUAUUGUUGUUUUGUUUGGAGCUAUUGUGUUUUCGUAAAGUGUUAGCCAAAUACUGAGCUAAAUGUAAUGGCCGUCUGUCUCCAGGGCUAAUGGAGCCAAUGAUGGACAUUUGUUACAAUGCUGCCUAGCAGUUACGCACAGCAGAGCACAUAAUUAUAUAAAAAUAUAAGAGUUUGUUGACUUCAACAAAGCACUUUUUAUGCUCGCUCUCCUUUUCUCCCUCUCUUUUUCCCUGCUUCUUAUGGUUUCUUUGUAAAGGAUUUAGAAAAUGAUGGCAGUUAAUUUAAUACAUGUGAUAUGUUGAAUGAAAUGGAAAAUAUUAAAUAUAAUGAGGUUAUAUAGCGCACCGCUUUUUAUAACAUAUGCAUGGAGUUCUUUAUUCACUAUUUUUUUCCUUCAUCUUCCUGACGCCGAUAAUUAAUAUCUACUUGUAAAUGUUUUGCUAAUCUCCUCGGUUAUAUCGGUGCAGUUCAGUCUGAAAACUCUAAUCCCGUAUUUACUUUCCAGCCGUUUUCUGUCCCCUGAUAAUCUGUUUAUGCGUGAGUGUGGCGUUGCGUUCUGCCGGGUGCUUGAGGGGUGUGAGCUGUGUUGUACGGAGGGCUCUGUGCGAUUACAGGAGCUCAGUCUUGGCGGGCACUCAGAGUUGUCAAAGCCUUUGAUCUGAACUGUCUUCAUAAUCACUUCAAAAAGUGUUCGCAGCACCGUGAGGGGUUUACAAAUUCACCCUGUACUUUUCCUGCACUCUUAAAGCGGUUGAUGCUCUGUGUUUAAGGCCUGUCCGCCAUGACGAGAGGUAAAAAAAAGGAAACAAUUUAAAAUUCACUCACUCUGCAGAUACAGUUCGAGUGAAGCAGGAUAUUUGUAAGAUUCAUUUUAUUCUUCCCUAUAUGCAUGGUCAUUUCAAACAUGUUUAUGAUGUGUCUGUCGCUGAUGCUCUCCUUUAAUUCUUCCUGACUUUCUAUAAACAAAGUGAGGGACAAAAGUGAAAUCCUUCCACAUUUUGCUCUCCAGACUCACAAGGGGCGCAAGCAGAAGGAAAAAAAAAACUCGACUGUUCUCUUUAACAACAGCAUUUGCAUAUUUUUAUAGUCUCUCAAAGAAAAAUAGCCGGCAGGCUAACAGCUCCAGCAGCAGUGUAAGCUGAAAACGGAAGCAGUGAGAUCUCUGUCUGUGUGUGUGUGUGUGUGUGUGUGUGUGUGUGUGUGUGUGUGUGUGUGUGUGUGUGUGUGUGUGUGUGUGUGUGCGUGUGCGUGUGCGUGUGUGAGCGUCUGAGCGUGUGUUUGUGUGUGUGUGUGUGUGUGUGUGUGUCUCCGCUCACAGCAUAGUCACUCUGUCCCUCUGCAGCAGAUUGAGUCUGGGUCCAGCGUGGAAGGAGGCCCCUCUCCCUGGAGAAGGGAGGGAAGGUGGGAGAGUUGAAGUUCCUCUCCUGCAAGAGAAAUAACAAUGUUAGAAUCAGUUGGAACUGCAUCUUGAACAAAUAUUCUUUCUACGGCACGCAAUACACAUUUUG
ensembl:lncRNA